rnacentral:rRNA from 1 species
GUAGGUGGCAAGCGUUGUUCCGGGAAUUAUUGGGGCGUAAAGCGCGCGCAGGCGGUUUUUUAAGUCUGAUGUGAAAGCCCACGGCUCAACCGUGGAGGGGUCAUUGGAAACUGGAGAACUUGAGUGCAGAAGAGGAGAGCGGAAUUCCACGUGUAGCGGUGAAAUGCGUAGAGAUGUGGAGGAACACCAGUGGCGAAGGCGGCUCUCUGGUCUGUAGCUGACGCUGAGGCGCGAAAGCGUGGGGAGCAAACAGGAUUAGAUACCCUGGUAGUCCACGCCGUAAACGAUGAGUGCUAAGUGUUAGAGGGUUUCCGCCCUUUAGUGCUGCAGCAAACGCAUUAAGCACUCCGCCUGGGGAGUACGGUCGCAAGACUG